rnacentral:tRNA from 1 species
AAGGAUUUAAGUUAAUUAAACUCACAGCCUUCAAAGCUGUAAAUAAAGUCGCCCGGUCUUUAAGCCUUA